UUUUGUGUCUACAUAAAAUAUUAUAAGAUCAAAUAAUUGUGGCUGAAAAGUCAGACCUCAAAAGAUUAAAUCAAACGUAUUUUCUGCCUAACAAGUUUAGGAUAAAUCCCUGCCUCCUCUGCGUGCUUCAGAGCACUGUUUCGUGGCAGAGGCUAUUCCCAAUCUCCACCUAAGUGAUGGGGAAUUGGUUGUUUGGGAUCAAAUCGUACGGAGCUUUAAGGAGUCUCUGGGAAUCAAUAAAUUGAACCAGUUACCUCCGGGGCCUGUGAACUGUGUAUGGCUACAUGCUUUCGGUUGCUGGGGUUUGCCUUGUAAACCUAUUCCUUCUCCUCCAAAUCUAUGGGAAGCACGUUUCUGAGCGGAGGUGUGCCUAAGCCUGGGUCUUCGGUCAUGGCGGGGGGGGGGUUGCUGCAGUGCUGACGAGUUUCGGGAGCUCUAACCACUCUGCUCUUGGCACGCAGGAUGAGUCCCAGGCAGGUGGGACUGUUACAGACCCAGCUGAGAGCGGCUGCUUCAAGGACACACAGGAAUUUUAAGGUGCACAAAAUAGCUUUAGAAACCACAGAGCUUCUACCACAGAAAACCACAGAACCGCACAAUCCUAUAAUUUGAAGAAUGGACAAACUUUUUUUGGCACUUCUUGUGGAUGGAGGACCAAAGUUUAGAGCGAGUCAAUGUUUUCAGGCAGUUUGUAAACGGCCACGAGUAACCAAGGACUCGCACAGGCCGAAAUCCCCCAUCCCUGCACGAGUGUGUCACAAUCAAAUCCAGGAUAGCUGCAGAUGGAAAGGGCAGGUCUUCGCUGCAUGAUCCCCGGGAGGCAUCUGGGAUUCGGGGUCUCUGGUGUUAAUUAGAACAAAAUUACUUAAAAGGUGAUGACCUGAUGGUCUGUUAUUAGAAGACGGUGCAGAGCGUUAGUGAUUUCCUGCUGGCCAGGGGAGGCUUGGUAGAUUGAUAGAACUGUAUUGACGCAUCUUUGGAUGUACUAAUUUAAGGCAAUUAAAAA